rnacentral:tRNA from 1 species
UGGGAUGUAACUUGGUGGUAGAGUAUUUGCUUUCCAUGCACAGUUAUCUAGGUUCAAUCCUAGCCCCAG